UUUAAUUGAAGAGUUUGAUCAUGGCUCAGAUUGAACGCUGGCGGCAGGCUUAACACAUGCAAGUCGAGCGGUAGCACAAGGGAGCUUGCUCCCUGGGUGACGAGCGGCGGACGGGUGAGUAAUGUCUGGGAAACUGCCUGAUGGAGGGGGAUAACUACUGGAAACGGUAGCUAAUACCGCAUAACGUCGCAAGACCAAAGAGGGGGA
rnacentral:rRNA from 1 species